rnacentral:rRNA from 1 species
GACGAACGCUGGCGGCGUGCUUAACACAUGCAAGCCGAACGGAAAGGCCCUGCUUUUGUGGGGUGCUCGAGUGGCGAACGGGUGAGUAACACGUGAGUAACCUGCCCUUGACUUUGGGAUAACUUCAGGAAACUGGGGCUAAUACCGGAUAGGAGCUCCUGCUGCAUGGUGGGGGUUGGAAAGUUUCGGCGGUUGGGGAUGGACUCGCGGCUUAUCAGCUUGUUGGUGGGGUAGUGGCCUACCAAGGCUUUGACGGGUAGCCGGCCUGAGAGGGUGACCGGCCACAUUGGGACUGAGAUACGGCCCAGACUCCUACGGGAGGCAGCAGUGGGGAAUAUUGCACAAUGGGCGGAAGCCUGAUGCAGCAACGCCGCGUGCGGGAUGACGGCCUUCGGGUUGUAAACCGCUUUCGCCUGUGACGAAGCGUGGGUGACGGUAAUGGGUAAAGAAGCACCGGCUAACUACGUG